AAAAGGUAGAGAACAAAAAAAGCUUUUGAAGAUAUUACAUGGAUUUACCGAAAAAAUUAUUGCCGACAGAAAACUUUAUCAUGAACGCACUAAUGGUCAAUACUU